CUGAUUCCAUUUCAAACAUUCCAGCUCCCAUUGUAUAUCCCACUGGAACGUAUAUCAUCCCAUGGUGCACUAAUUGCGUGAUUGCUGUCCACCUACACCAUCAUCAACAAUAUGACUUUAAAUAUUCUUUUCUUUCAUGUUUAAACGAUGAUAAUUCGAAUUCUGAGCCGGACUUACGCUGUCGUUUCUUGGCCACCGCCCUGGGUGCCGGUACUCACAAAGAAGCCCGCAGGCUUUCCCGCCAGUUUCUGCUCCCUCCACAACUGACCCGUCGAAUCGAAGAACGCCUUCAUCUGCGCCGCCAUGCUCCCAAACCUUGUUGGAAAUCCGAAUACCACCCCAUCCGCCUCCACCAAGUUCUCCGCCGUUAUCACCGGCACGUUGUCGUCCUUCGGUGGCGCCUUCAUCAUCUCUAGCACCUCCUUCGGCAGCGUCUCCGCCACUCGGUACAGCACCCCUUCCACUCCUUCCACCGAAUCCACGCCUUUCUUUAUUUCCCGCGCCAGUGACUCAACAUGACCGUACAUUGAGUAAUACACUAUGAAAACCCUCAGCUUCUUCGCAUCUGCUUCGACUGGUGCUUCUCGGACUGCGAUUGUUGUCGUUUCCGUUGUUCGCGAUUGGGUUUCGAUGCUCUCUGAAACAGGAUCGUUCUUCUUCGAAUCAGAAACAGGCACCUUCUUCUUGCUAGGUACACACCCGCCUCCUUUCCCCAUUGUUUUCUGAUUUUUUUUUUUAAACACUGAAUCAGAUGUUGUUAUCUGAAACUUUGAGAUUUAUGCUCUGCAAUGAUAGUACACAGAUCAUAGCUUACAUAUAAAAAAGGGAAGAUGAAUUGCGUAAACUAGCUUGUAUUUGACUUCAUAUUUCUGAGCUGUUAUGUUGAAUUAUGAAAGAUAUAAUUUAAAAUUUGUGCUUGUGACGAGAACUAAACGUGGCAUCAGCCAUGAGCAUUGGUCUUAAGAAAACUAGGCAGCCAAAGGAGACAAUGUAUAUAGGCGAAGAAUCAAAGGAUAUAGGGUUGUGGACUAACAUGAUGCUGGAUGAUGCUUUUAGCAGAAACUAUAGAAAAUGGAAUACUUCCUUUUCUUUGACAGAUUCCGACGAAUAUAUUUUCUUCAAAAAUAGUACUAUAAAUUUGUAGGAUAUUGCAAUACCUCGCUUAUUGUCGUUUUCGUUGACACAUUCAAACAAACUUAUUUGAAAUAUGAUAUAAUUUAUUUGAAAUAUGAUGUAGGUUUUAUUCUUCAUUACUCAUAAUUUCCAUGCCAUUAUUGGUUUGUUAAGACUUAAGACCUAUAAUCCACACAAGUAGGAUUAAUGUUUUUUUUUCCUCUUUCCUUUAUAUAUAUAUAUAUAUAUAUAUUACGUGGCAGUACCUAUCUAUACCUACCACUCGCCACAUCAAACGUAGUGGCUUUCGGAGGACCAAAUUUCACCUUAAAAAACCCAAAUUUUAAGAAGGAAUGCGUUGCUUCUUUGAACCAGACCGCAUUGCAACUGUUAAAUAUCUAUUCAGAAGAAUUACUGGCACGAAUCAGAUUCAUUGACUCUGUGUGGAAGCAACUCGAUCAUGUGAAUGCUUAUUGGCUAAGUGCAAAUUAUUAAUGGCACCAAUACGAGCGCCUAAACUUCUCAUAAAUUAAAGCCUUUUGGUCAACGAAGACUGCAUUCCUCGCAAUAUUAUGUCAUCGCCAUGCUUUGAAGCAAAUACAAUUAGAGAAUUCAAUUUUAAAGCAACUAGCUUGGGAGCAACAUCAUCAUGAAUGUCAUCAACAGACGACAAAAUGAUGAAAAAUUAUUCUUAGUUGUGAAGAUACCAAAUUAUGUUAUGGACAGAUUUAAUGUUGAAGUGUGUUUCAUCCGGUCCUCGGCCUGUGCAAUUGUUUUAUAAUCAGAAAAUCCCGAAUGAAAGAUCUAAAACGUUUGCUAAUAGCUUUUUUCUUUCUUUUUUUUUUUUUCCGGAACAGAGAACUUGUUAAUAGUUUCACCUCUGUUUCUUUAUUUUUUCGACGUUAUGUUUGACGGAGACUGAUCAGUUGUAUUUAAAUGUCUAAUAAUUACCGGUAAUUAUUUUAGUUGCAAAGAUAAUGUUGCGAGGUUGAUGUGUGCUUAUACAGUUGUGUUGGUGUUUUUCUUGGUAUUUUAAUAUUCAGGAGUAUACCGAGACAUUGGUAUUCGAAUUAUCUAUAGAUGCGUUGCUCCUCGUUAAUCUAAUGUAUUAAUAUUUAGCUCGUAAGCGCUUAAGAGGAAUUGGAUUUAAGUUGAAAAGAUGAUAUGUUUUCUGUCCUUAUAAAUUGAACCAGUUCUUUUGGAUUUGCUAAUAAGGAUGGGCAGAUAUUCGGCUUUUUCCAUGUUAACAUGAUUAAAUUAUACUAGUAGUUGCUUGAGAUAUUUAUUUUUUGUUGUAAUUUUAUUUGAAUAGACUAAUUGCAGCCAAGUCUCAGUUUAAGGAAAGAAACCUGUUUUAAAUUUCAAGUGAACGAGAAUUUGUGUGGUUAAAAAGGGAAUAUUGCUUAAAUUUGUCUCCUCAUAUAUUUGUUGAAGUCCAGGAAUGGGCAAUAUGUACUAGCUUAACCCUUAUUUGUGAAUCCAAGUUCAUGAUGCUGCAUCUCAAAAACAUGGCAAGUGAAAUUUGUUCCAUGGUUUUGGCUAAUGUGUCUAAGUUCUCUGUUGUUCAUAGUUCUUUAUUAGUCUUCUGAGUUUUGACGGCUUGGUACUACCAUUAUAUUCUAUGUUUGAAGUUUGAUCAAAGUGCUCCUGGCUUUGCACUGUCUUUGAACAAUAUGGGCGUUAUAUGUGUAGCUUAACUUCUUGUUGAUAUAUCUAAGCUUGCCGUGAUCGUCCAUGUAUUCCGCAUUUCCACAAAGAGUUGUUUUUGUCAUUGAGCUUGCGUAGAACUUGCACAGAAAUAUAUCUGACAAGUUCUUCAUUAGACAAGGCCAAAAUUAGCCAAGAGAAGUAUGGAAAACAAAUUUUGUUCGACAAUUUCUGCACUCCUAGAGGAAAGGAUGUUUUCUUCAUUUAACAGUGGUUCCGUCUUCCUAGAAAGAGAGCUAAGUAGAAUCUCAUCCUUCCUUUCGUGAACCCUUUCUAGUCCUCCAUGCUCUUAGGAAACCUUUAUUUUGAGAGCGUUGAAUUAAUGGAGAUUUUGAUUCUUUCCUCUGGAGCUUCUGGGGCCUUGACAUUGAUGAAAAACAACUAAAAGCGGCACGCAGCUUUUUCUUACCAUCACGCCCUUGAAUGUUGGGAUCUUCUUGAGGGGUUGAAGUUCUGAGGGCAUCAGGGAGUAAACAGUUACAUACAGAACCUAUAAGGAUGACAAAGAACAAUGAAUCAGGUAUUGAAUUCCAUAAUUUCUGAGAUGCAUCUGAUGUGUUUACUGGCAAAAAAUAAUACAAUUUAAAGUUUGAACAUUAGAAUGCAGAAUGCGUGAAGUAUAUCAUAUACCUAAUCUUGCUAGGCGAUUGACCCAUUUAGGUAUUGAAUUCCCUGUGAGCCUUUGGCAUAUAUCCGCACAGAAAUGGUUGCAGUUCUUGACCAUCAAGUUAUAAGUAUUACCAUGGUAAUUAGCUGACUGUUGCUCCAUGAAUUCUCUAAUUUUGAAAGGAUUCGAAUUUGUCGUUCCCAUGAAUAUUGACUUCCUAAACUUGAAUCCUGGGCACUGGCGAGGUUCAACAUCAAAGACACCGCUAGUAGGACAAUCAUGGGCUCCAAAGGAAUACUCUACUCCAUAAACUGAGCCAAUAUGACAAUCUCAGAAAAUAUUGAUGGCAUCCAGAUAUCUUUUUUCCUCAUUUAAGUCAUCGGAGCAGGAAUAGGUGUGUUUAACAUGGUCUUACUUUUUUUUUUUUUUUAAUAACAACAAGUUUUAUCCUGUGGAAUCUGAUAAAUUACAUUCGGUCUUACUUUUUUCUUGAAAAAUAUUCUUUUUGCAUUUCUUUUUAAAUAAGAUACUUUACUUCUCUAAAAUAUCAGGGUAUAUCUGUUGGGACUCAAGUCUACGUUUGUGAAUUCGGGCAAAUAUGCAUCUACAUGUUAUGAGUGUCGUGGGGAAUCAAAUCCAUAAAAUGAUUUCUUGUUAGCAGAUAGAACUGAAGUUACUGUUGUUUGCCUGAAGUAGUUCAAAUAAUAAGAGGAGAUAGCAUUUCUUCUUAUCAUCAUCGGUUCAAUUCUUCUAAAGAGCGUUUUAGGGAUCUAAAUUUUAAAUGUCUUGGGGCGAUACAAGAUUCCCUUGAUUGUAGCUAAAAAUAUGUUGCUACUGUGAAUGUUUACUGACCUUCAACCCCAGCGUGAAAAACACCAAGGCCCGCCCAGUACAAGUACCCAUUUGCGGGUGUCAAAUCAUACACAUUGAGAUAGACAGGUACACUCUCUGGAUUGUCGUCAACCGAUUUCACUUUUGGGAAUAUGCAAAAGCGGGGUUCUGAUUUUUUAAUGACAUGAAGGUGCACAACAGAGGGCCAGCCAUCAUUCCCUGGUCCCCUUUUCAUGCUAAAAAUGAAUCCAGGAAGCUCUCAAUACCUAUUUCCAAUCUGCACAUAUCAAGAUGAACAUCGAGCAUAAAUUUUAUAAGAAAAAUGACAGAAAGUGGCGAGUUGUUAUCUGCACAGCAGCCCAAUUCUCAUGCAACAACUUUUCCUCAAGAGUGAGGGAAGAUUAUAGCAAGUGUUAUUCCCUGGUUUACUUAUUAUCUCAUUGCUUUUGUUCGUAUCAGACAAGGCCAAGAAGACAUAUCUGGCUUGUUUGAUAAUUUGUUCUGCUGUUCUACUUCCAUACAUGUAACACUUAAAACCAUUGUUUCAAUGUGCAAACUGCCGGACAAAGCCCCCAAAUAUGACUUUACAAUGUUUGAUGCAUUCGUCAUCACAGAGGUCAUUUAUACAGGAACUUAUUACAAACCUGUUCCUUACAGAUAAUGCAGAGAUAAAAGGUUGCUACUCGUAGCUAUAGAAGGAGGGGAGUAUAGGGUUAUAUAACAAUGAUUUGAGCCAUGUCCAAUUUGUGGUUUAUGAAUCAACUUACUAGUUCCGUUUAGGACGAAGCGCCUUUUGGCAUGCUUUUCACUAAUAUUAUUUCAGUAGGACAGAGACACUUUUUUAUCUUAUUUUUUUCUAUAUUAACUUCAUCUAUAUUUGGGUAA